rnacentral:rRNA from 1 species
GACGAACGCUGGCGGCGUGCUUAACACAUGCAAGUCGAGCGGUAAGGCCCUUUCGGGGUACGACGAGCGGCGAACGGGUAGAGUAACAACGUGGGUGGACCUCGCCCUCCAGUUCUUGGGAGUAAAGACCUCGGGAAACCGGGGUACCGUAAUAACUGGAUAUGACCUCCAUGACGCAUGUUGUGGGGUGGGAAAGACCUUGUGCGACUGAGGAUGGGCCCGGCCGGCCUAUCAGCUUGUUGGUGGGGUGAUGGCCUACCAAGGCGACGACGGGUAGCCGGCCUGAGAGGGCGACCGGCCACACUGGGACUGAGACACGGCCCAGACUCCUACGGGAGGCAGCAGUGGGGAAUCUUGCGCAAUGGGCGAAAGCCUGACGCAGCGACGCCGCGUGAGGGAUGACGGCCU